rnacentral:rRNA from 1 species
UUUUUUUUACCCCGGGGGAAUGGAAUAGGANGUGUGUUUCUAUUUUGUUGGUUCCUAGGACCGCCGUAGUGAUUAUAGGGACAGUCGGGGGCAUCAGUAUUCGAUCGUGAGAGGUGAAAUUCUUGGAUCGAUGGAAGACUAAUUACUGCGAAAGCNUUUGCCAAGGAUGUUUUCAUUAAUCAGGAACGAAAGUUAGGGGAUCGAAAACGAUCAGAUACCGUUGUAGUCUUAACCAUNAACUAUGCCGACUAGGGAUCGGACGAUGUUAUUUCUUGACUCGUUCGGCACCCUACACGAAAGUAAAGUUUAUGGAUUUUGGGGGGAGUAUGGUCGCAAGGCUGAAACUCAAAGAAAUUGACGGAAGGGCACCACAAGGGGUGGAGCCUGCGGCUUAAUUUGACUCAACACGGGGAAACUCACCAGGUCCAGACACAACUAGGACUGACAGACUCAGAGCUCCUUCUUGAUUUUGUGGGUGGUGGUGCAUGGCCGUUGUCAAGAGAUGGAAUGAUUCGUCCGCUUAAUUGCGAUAACGAACGAGACGUUUACAUCGGAAAUAGCCCGUUCCGGAUAGGCGGAACGCUGGCUUUUUAGAGGGACAAUCGCCUCAAGCCGACGGAAGUUUGAGGCAAUAACAGGUCUGUGAUGCCCUUAGAUGUUCUGGGCCGCACGCGCGAUACACUGACAGAGCCAGCGAGUUCCUCCUGGCCGGAAGGCCUAUUUAGUCNNNCNANNGGGG